rnacentral:rRNA from 1 species
GACGAACGCUGGCGGCGUGCUUAACACAUGCAAGUCGAACGCUGAAGCUCAGCUUUUGUUGGGUGGAUGAGUGGCGAGCGGGUGAGUAACACGUGAGUAACCUGCCCCCUUCUUUGGGAUAACGCCCGGAAACGGGUGCUAAUACUGGAUAUUCACUGGUCUUCGCAUGGGGGUUGGUGGAAAGGGUUUUUCUGGUGGGGGAUGGGCUCGCGGCCUAUCAGCUUGUUGGUGGGGCGAUGGCCUACCAAGGCUUUGACGGGUAGCCGGCCUGAGAGGGUGACCGGUCACAUUGGGACUGAGAUACGGCCCAGACUCCUACGGGAGGCAGCAGUGGGGAAUAUUGCACAAUGGGCGCAAGCCUGAUGCAGCGACGCCGCGUGAGGGAUGGAGGCCUUCGGGUUGUGAACCUCUUUCGCUCAUGGUCAAGCCGCAACAAUGGUUGUGGUGAGGGUAGUGGGUAAAGAAGCGCCGGCUAACUACGUG